UACGGGGGGGGUAAGCGUUGUUCGGAAUUACUGGGCGUAAAGGGCUCGUAGGCGGCCAACUAAGUCAUACGUGAAAUCCCUCAGCUUAACUGGGGAACUGCGUGUGAUACUGGAUGGCUUGGAUUUGGGAGAGGGAUGCGGAAUUCCAGGUGUAGCGGUGAAAUGCGUAGAUAUCGGGAGGAACACCAGUGGCGAAGGCGACUACCUGGCCUGUUCUUGACGCUGAGGCGCGAAGCUAGGGGAGCAAACGGGG
rnacentral:rRNA from 1 species